rnacentral:rRNA from 1 species
GCAGCAUGUUGGUUGCUUGCAACCAAUGAUGGCGACCGGCGCACGGGUGAGUAACGCGUAUCGAACCUGCCUCACACACGGGAACAGCCUUGCGAAAGUAAGAUUAAUGCCCGGUGGUCUUAUAUGAUCGCAUGAUUGUAUAAGUAAAGAUUUAUCGGUGUGAGAUGGCGAUGCGUCCCAUUAGCUUGUUGGCGGGGUAACGGCCCACCAAGGCAUCGAUGGGUAGGGGUUCUGAGAGGAAGGUCCCCCACAUUGGAACUGAGACACGGUCCAAACUCCUACGGGAGGCAGCAGUGAGGAAUAUUGGUCAAUGGACGAAAGUCUGAACCAGCCAAGUAGCGUGCAGGAAGACGGCCCUCUGGGUUGUAAACUGCUUUUAGUUGGGAAUAAAACGCGGUACGUGUACCGCCUUGUAUGUACCAUCAGAAAAAGGACCGGCUAAUUCCGUGCCAGCAGCCGCGGUAAUACGGAAGGUUCGGGCGUUAUCCGGAUUUAUUGGGUUUAAAGGGAGCGCAGGCGGACUUUUAAGUCAGCUGUGAAAUCUGGCGGCUCAACCGUCAGACUGCAGUUGAUACUGGAAGUCUUGAGUGCACACAGGGAUGCUGGAAUUCAUGGUGUAGCGGUGAAAUGCUCAGAUAUCAUGAAGAACUCCAAUCGCGAAGGCAGGCAUCCGGGGUGCAACUGACGCUGAGGCUCGAAAGUGCGGGUAUCAAACAGGAUUAGAUACCCUGGUAGUCCGCACAGUAAACGAUGAAUACUCGCGAUUUGCGAUACAUUGUAAGUCGCCAAGCGAAAGCGUUAAGUAUUCCACCUGGGGAGUACGCCGGCAACGGUGAAACUCAAAGGAAUUGACGGGGGCCCGCACAAGCGGAGGAACAUGUGGUUUAAUUCGAUGAUACGCGAGGAACCUUACCCGGGCUUGAACUGCCAGUGACGGUAGCAGAGACGCUACUUUCUUCGGACACUGGUGGAGGUGCUGCAUGGUUGUCGUCAGCUCGUGCCGUG